UCCAGACUCCUACGGGAGGCAGCAGUGAGGAAUAUUGGUCAAUGGGCGAGAGCCUGAACCAGCCAAGUCGCGUGAAGGAUGACGGCCCUACGGGUUGUAAACUUCUUUUGUCAGGGAGCAAUUGGGUCCACGCGUGGGCUUAGCGAGAGUACCUGAAGAAAAAGCAUCGGCUAACUCCGUGCCAGCAGCCGCGGUAAUACGUAGGGUGCGAGCGUUAAUCGGAAUUACUGGGCGUAAAGGGUGUGCAGGCGGCUGAGUAAGACAGAUGUGAAAUCCCCGGGCCUAACCUGGGAACCGCAUAUGUGACUGCUUGGCUAGAGUGCGUCAGAGGGAGGUGGAAUUCCACGUGUAGCAGUGAAAUGCGUAGAUAUGUGGAAGAACACCGAUGGCGAAGGCAGCCUCCUGGGACGCAACUGACGCUCAUACACGAAAGCGUGGGGAGCAAACAGGAUUAGAUACCCCCGUA
rnacentral:rRNA from 1 species